GUCCUUUUGAAUUUAAUUGAAGGUCUGACCUGCCCAGUGAUUAAUUUAACGGCCGCGGUAUACUGACCGUGCAAAGGUAGCAUAAUCAUUAGUCUUUUAAUAGAGGGCUGGAAUGAAAGGUUUGACGAGGAAUUGACUGUCUCAUUUUAUUUGUUUUAGAAUUUAAUUUUUUAGUUAAAAAGCUAAAAUUUAAUUGGAAGACGAGAAGACCCUAUAGAUCUUUAUAUAAUUUUAUUUAAUUAUUUUAAUAUUAAUAUAUUUAAAUUAUAAUUAUAUUUUGUUGGGGUGACAAAAAUAUAUAAUUAACUUUUUUAUUUAUUUACCAUUGAUAAAUGAAUAUUAGAUCCAUUCGUAGUGAUUAUUAGAACAAGUUACCUUAGGGAUAACAGCGUAAUCCUCCUCCAGAGUUCAUAUUUACAGGAUGGGCUUGCGACCUCGAUGUUGGAUUAAGAUAAUAAUUAGGUGUAGCCGCUUAAUUUAUAGGUCUGUUCGACCUUUAAAUUCUU
rnacentral:rRNA from 1 species